rnacentral:tRNA from 1 species
CGGAGAUUGGCACAGUCUGGUAGCGCAUUGCGUUUGGGACGCAAGGGUCAAAGGUUCGAAUCCUUUAUCUCCGACCA